GCUUUCAAUUCUCACAAUGUUUAUUUUACCAAAUCUACUAUUGACGUGUUACGCCAGAUUUAAGUACUUUCUGACAUUAAUCACAUAAAAGAUCGCGAAGAAGUUUCUUUAUGUUGUAAUAAUAAAAAUGUGUAUAUCUUUUUUAUGAAAAAUCGCUGAAAAGCUCGCACAAAUUAGUGCAGAGUUCAGCAUUGUUAUAAACUGUUCAGUACCUAUGUAUGCAAGUUCUCAUAGAACAAAGUUAUGUUUUGUGUUUCUAGACAGCUUAUUUAGACUGCAGGACCCUGAGCUCGCCCUUCAAGUUCAGGGGUUUGAUGCGCUAAGAAUCGGAACUCGGAAACGUACCCUGGACCAUGUCGUCUUGGAUCAUAAUCUCCUAGUUCAGCUGUAAUAAAAAUAAUAAUUGUUUAAAAAUGCUACACAAUUCCAACAUUUUAGCGGAAGUGGAUCACUAAGCUACUUGUGAGGGAAAACGGCGGAUGUAAAGAGAAAAGAACUGCCAUGUUUGGGAGACUAGAAAAAACUAAGGGCGUGAGUGAUGCUGACACUUAUUUCCCGUCGUUUAUCUUUUUUUUCAGCUUCGGAAAUCGCAUCUGGUGAAUUUGUGAAAAAGAUUCUUCCCUAAUAUAUGAAGAUACAAAAUAUUUUUGGUACGAUACGUUUUCACAUAUGUGAAUCAUUACGGCGAUUUCAUUUAUAACACUUAAAUCUAUCCCAUAUACGAACUAAGACUAGAAUAUUAAGUUGCUUUUAUUUUUAAAAUACAACAUGACUUUUUAUUUUAAUUAUCCUAAAAAGUCAAAGGCUUUUUAAAUGUGAGACAAUAAAGUAGCUUAUUUUUAUCGCAAUAUUUAAGA